AUCUUCAGAUCUCAGCCUUCUGAGUAGCUAAGAUUAUAGCCUCCAGUAACCUUGGAAUUCCAGGAAGGACAGGAUCAUGAGAAAACAUCUUGUGACCAAGGCUGAAACUGCUCCUCAGUUAAGCAAUGCCAUCUUCUUAUGGAGACUCCCAGCUCAUCCUGGGAUAAUUAUCAACCAGAAGACAUUGUUGACCAGGACUACCUAAAUUUGCGAAUCAAGUACUUGAGGUUAGGACCAAAGAUUGCAUUUUUAAUAAACACCUCAGGGCCUCCUGAUUGGAACCCACUUACUGUGUGAAUCUGGACAAAGCUCUCAUCCUCUUUACAUUGGAGAUAAGUGUAAGUGGGCAUGAGUGUAAGGAUUAAUUCAGAAGAUGGAUGGUAAAGUAUUUACCAAUAAUGUCUUACAUAUGUAGUUAUAUUCCAAGGGGCCGGAGAUUAAGACAUCAGCAUAUAAAUUCUGUGGGAUCAUUGUGUGGCACAUAUACAGAAAGUGUUUUUUCUAUGCUGCAUGAACAUGACCCCAGUCUCCUACUUGGAUAGUAAGGUCCUUCCUCAUUGCCACUGAGAGGCUUCGUCAUCUGUGCACGUUUACUGCUAGGAUUGGGGUUCAGAGCAAAUGAGGGCAAGUGCUAUGUCAAGAAACUGCAGUAGACUCAGAGAAAAGAAGAACUGACUGACAAGAUGGUAGUAGCA